rnacentral:rRNA from 1 species
UCGCCCUACGGGGGGCAGCAGUGGGGAAUAUUGGGCAAUGGAGGAAACUCUUACCCAGCAAUGCCGCGUGAAUGAAGAAGGUCUUCGGAUUGUAAAGUUCUUUAAUUGGGGACGAAAAAAAUGACGGUACCCAAGGAAUAAGCCCCGGCUAACUACGUGCCAGCAGCCGCGGUAAUACGGAGGAUGCGAGCGUUAUCCGGAUUCAUUGGGUUUAAAGGGUGCGCAGGCGGGCCUUUAAGCCGGCGGGGAAAUCGCGGG